rnacentral:rRNA from 1 species
CAAUAGCGUAUAUUUAAGUUGUUGCAGUUAAAAAGCUCGUAGUUGGAUUUCGGAUGGGAUUUGCCGGUCCGUCGUUACGAUGUGCACUGGCCAGUCCUAUCUUGUUGUCGGGGACUAGCUCCUUGGAUUCACUUCCUGGGACUAGGAGCUGACGAGGUUACUUUGAGUAAAUUAGAGUGUUCAAAGCAAGCCUACGCUCUGAAUACAUUAGCAUGGAAUAACACGAUAGGACUCUGGCUUAUCUUGUUGGUCUGUGAGACCAGAGUAAUGAUUAAGAGGGACAGUCGGGGACAUUCGUAUUUCAUUGUCAGAGGUGAAAUUCUUGGAUUUAUGAAAGACGAACUUCUGCGAAAGCAUUUGUCAAGGAUGUUUNCAUUAA